rnacentral:rRNA from 1 species
UACGGAAGGCAGCAGUGGGGAAUAUUGGACAAUGGGCGCAAGCCUGAUCCAGCCAUGCCGCGUGUGUGAAGAAGGCCUUUUGGUUGUAAAGCACUUUUAAGCGAGGAGGAGGCUCUCUUAGUUAAUACCUAAGAUGAGUGGACGUUACUCGCAGAAUAAGCACCGGCUAACUCUGUGCCAGCAGCCGCGGUAAUACAGAGGGUGCGAGCGUUAAUCGGAUUUACUGGGCGUAAAGCGUGCGUAGGCGGCUUUUUUAAGUCGGAUGUGAAAUCCCCGAGCUUAACUUGGGAAUUGCAUUCGAUACUGGGAAGCUAGAGUAUGGGAGAGGAUGGUAGAAUUCCAGGUGUAGCGGUGAAAUGCGUAGAGAUCUGGAGGAUACCGAUGGGCGAAGGCAGCCAUCUGGGCCUAAUACUGACGCUGAGGUCGAAAGCAUGGGGA